CUGCUGUGCUACAGCGGCCGUUCGGGGGGGACGCCUGAGGGGGACUCUUGUUUCCUAGGCCACGCCCCGGGCAGCGCUCGCCGGAGGAUUACUCUGGAAAACACACUCUUGAAAGAACAUACCGUCUGAGCGAGCAACGCAAAUCAGUUAAAACUUUCAACAACGGAUCUCUUGGUUCCGGCAUCGAUGAAGAACGCAGCGAAAUGCGAUAAGUAAUGUGAAUUGCAGAAUUCCGUGAAUCAUCGAAUCUUUGAACGCACAUUGCGCCCCCUGGCAUUCCGGGGGGCAUGCCUGUUCGAGCGUCAUUUCAACCCCUCAAGCCCGGCUUGUGUGAUGGACGACCGUCCCCCCUCCCCAACAACCACCCACCGCUUAGGGGGGUGGGAGGGAGGGGGACGCGCCCGAAAAGCAGUGGUCAGGCCGCGAUUCCGGCUCCUGGGCGAAUGGGACAUACCACCGCCUCCAGGACCGGCCGGCAGGCGGGCCUAACGCACCAUGUAUUA
rnacentral:misc_RNA from 1 species